GACGAACGCUGGCGGCGUGCUUAACACAUGCAAGUCGAACGGUGAAGCGCCUUCCUUUUUGGUGGGUGUGGAUGAGUGGCGAACGGGUGAGUAACACGUGAGUAACCUGCCCCCUUCUUCUGGAUAACCGCAUGAAAGUGUGGCUAAUACGGGAUAUUCUGGGUCUGUCGCAUGAUGGGUCUGGGAAAGAUAUUGUUUCGGUGGGGGAUGGGCUCGCGGCCUAUCAGCUUGUUGGUGGGGUGAUGGCCUACCAAGGCGGUGACGGGUAGCCGGCCUGAGAGGGUGGACGGUCACACUGGGACUGAGACACGGCCCAGACCCCUACGGGAGGCAGCAGUGGGGAAUAUUGCACAAUGGGCGCAAGCCUGAUGCAGCGACGCCGCGUGAGGGAUGGAGGCCUGCGGGUUGUGAACCUCUUUCGCCAGUGAAGCAGGCCUGCCUCGUUUGUGGGUGGGUUGACGGUAGCUGGAUAAGAAGCGCCGGCUAACUACGUG
rnacentral:rRNA from 1 species